UCUCAGACCUCCUCUUGGCGACCCGUUCACACGGGAACCCUUUGAGUGCGACCCCCCUUAUCAAUUAAAAUGGGGGGGGUAAUUUAACAGGGCUCAGGCUCUCAGCCCCUCACAGGGCAGCCAGCUCGUGACACCCACCCAGAAACCUUGCCAUCCCCUGAGGGGUCGCGACGCCCAGGUUGAGAACCGCUGAUUUCGUGUCUGUCGUGCACCCUGCAUCCCAAAUGAGCAACUUCAAUUCCCACCGGCUUCCCUGGGGGCCACAGGUGCCCAGCAGAGCGCUGCAUCUACCCCCGAAAGUGUAAACAGCAACGGAGGGCGAGCGUUGCAGCAGGGUGGCUUGGUCCCAGAUCUGGGCGUUUCUGGGAUCAUCCUGAUUUCGGAGGGGUCCAAAUGUCUCAGGCCUGGCUCAUGGGAUCUUAAAAUAACUGGGAGCCCAGGUCAUGUUGUCCGGUUUAGUCAGAUGCAUGUGUUUGCCCUGCCAGAGAAACUCACAUUUGUGGGAACCUAAGGCAAGGGCGAGGAGAGAGGUUUUCACCUGAGAUUUGAAAUGAGAUGGAGCAGCGAUGAGGGGGUGAGCUAGAGAGAAGUCACUCCACGUGAUAGAAGCCGUACAGGUGGACUCAUGGAUGGGUGCAGCUAACAGAGGCUUCCAAGACAUGCAUUCUGCAUAGCAUGAGUGAGGAUCUCGCUUAGACUUACAACUGGUGAUUAGUACACAGGGCUGAGGGAUUCCUACCAGUGCUGUAGGCUGGAGACAGUGGGCUCUCGGAGAUGGGAGACAUUGGAGAAUGGAGAUCUUGGAUUUGGUCCACGCUGACUGCACAGUUCCGGAUGAUGUCUCGGUGAUGCGAUACUCAGCAGUUGUGUCUGAAAAUGCAAAUCAGUUGCAGGAGUAAUGCAUGUUUCCAUCAAACCCCGCAGAACUUCCUUUAGUCUCUCCAUCCAGGGAGUGGUUUGUUUGAUAUGAUCCAUGAGAGUAACCCUAAUUUCCUCAUGAACUCAAGAAUUGCCUGACAGUCCCUUGCUGGGACUCUCUGCACAGGGAUGCUGUCAACUCCAUCACUUCUUUUUCUUUGUAGCACCUGCUACAGAUGUGGGGCCGGAGGACGCGAUCCAUGGUAGAACGGCUAAGCCCAAGGACCAGGAAAAGCAAGAGAGACCAAUACUUGGGACACAUAGGGGGAUGUGAGAAAGGUCUUGGAGUGAAUGAUGGAAGGAGGUAAAAAUGACGCCCGCUUUAAGAGACUGGACAGGUUCAAGCAGAAGUGGAAUGAGAGGGGAAGGAGACCUGAGACCAGGCAAUUCUAAUGAGAGCUUUUCAAGGACUUGGGCAUCACAUUGAACCUAAUAACUGGGCCCUGCACCUGCCAGAUACAGGUUAAUAGUGCUCUUUGGAGCACCUCCUACUCUCCAGCUCCUUCAUAGCCCUUACUCCAGGUAUUGCACCCCUCUGCCACAGUCACCUAAGAGGACUAGAAUCCCCAGUUAGAUGGGCAAGAUGCACCUGUAAAAUAUUGUUACCACUGUUUCUGUAACUACGUUACUCUUGUUUGCCAUUGAAGCCGGCCUGAAUUUUUGUUUGUGUAUAAUAAAGUAGAAUCUGGGAGAAUGAUUGUGCUCAUUACACAGGCUAUCAUACUGGCCUUUAAUACCAAAACCAACAACAGUUCACUCCUCCAUUCCAUCUAGGAAUGAAGCCACACAUCCUGAAGGAGUGCCCACUGGUACAGAACGCACCAGUCCAUCUGUUUAGCAACACAGGUCACUGAACACCUCACUCAAGUACACCACUCCCUGCACUGGCUCCCCAUGGAGGUCAGACUCCAGUUCAAGGUCUCUGCCUUGAUGUUCAAAGCCCUCUUUUGGAAUUGCUCAUGGCUACAUGACCUCUCAUGGCAGCUGUGUUCCACUGGAACAAUGAAACAUGAGUGUGGGAUGGGGGGAGGCUCUGUAAUGUUAGGGGGCUGUACUGUGGAAUAGCAGUUCGUGCAACUGCAGAUAGUCGUGUGGAUGUGGGGCAAAGCUGAAGCCAAGUCAGCAUGGCUAUGGUGGACAUGUUGCAGUGUUGGUACUUAGAUGGACACUAUGCUACUGGUUCAGUCUCUAGUGUAGACACAGCCAGGGCGUGUGUCUGCACAUCCAUCUAUCUAGAUAUUAGUUAUUCUCACUCCAAGGCUGCAGCUGCAUCCCUUUGCUGAGCUGCCAUUGGUCAGAAAUGAUGUCAUUGCCUCCAGUGCUGGAUGGCAGUGCAUUGCUAUUGGUGGAGGGGCAGAGAUGCUGUUGUCAGCUGGAAAGGCUCUAGUCAUUCAUGUGGAGUUCAGUGCGUAUUCACUCUGUGGGCUUGGACACAGAUGGAGAUAAAGAUCUGGCAGAGCCAGGUGAGCACUUGGGGCUCACUUUUAACCCUGCAUAGCUGGGACAUAAUGCCAUAUCCCCUGCAGCAUCCUAGCAAGAGAGACUGUAGCUGGUUUAACUCUUGCAGUGCAGGUCAGAGUGCCUAAAGCACUUUUCUUUAACCCAUGCACUGAUGAGCCAGAGCUGUAUGUCCUGUGGAUGUUCCCUCCAGAUUCCUCAGCAAGGCUCUGCAACAAUCAAAAGAGCUGUCCCCAGAAAAUC